UACGGAGGGUGCAAGCGUUGCUCGGAAUUACUGGGCGUAAAGGGCGCGUAGGCGGUUUCGUAUGUCAGGCGUGCAAGCCCCGGGCUCACCCCGGGAAGUGCGUCGGAAACUGCGAGACUAGAGUCCCGGAGAGGGAGGUGGAAUUCCAGGUGUAGCGGUGAAAUGCGUAGAUAUCUGGAAGAACACCGGUGGCGAAGGCGGCCUCCUGGACGGUGACUGACGCUGAGGCGCGAAAGCGUGGGGAGCAAACAGG
rnacentral:rRNA from 1 species